rnacentral:rRNA from 1 species
UACGUAGGGUGCAAGCGUUAAUCGGAAUUACUGGGCGUAAAGCGCGCGCAGGCGGUUUUGUAAGUCUGACGUGAAAUCCCCGGGCUCAACCUGGGAAUUGCGUUGGAGACUGCAAGGCUGGAGUCUGGCAGAGGGGGGUAGAAUUCCACGUGUAGCAGUGAAAUGCGUAGAGAUGUGGAGGAACACCGAUGGCGAAGGCAGCCCCCUGGGUCAAGCCUGACGCUCAUGCACGAAAGCGUGGGGAGCAAACAGG